rnacentral:rRNA from 1 species
CAAGUCGUACGGGUGUAGCAAUACACCAGUGGCGGACGGGUGAGUAAUGAAUCGCUAAUGUACCCUCUUGUCUGGGAUAGCCGGCCGAAAGGCCGGGUAAUACCAGAUGAUAUAACCGAAUCGCAUGGUUUGGUUCUCAAAGGGCAACCGCAUGAGGAGCAGGCGAUUUCGUAUCAGCUAGUUGGUGAGGUAACGGCUCACCAAGGCGACGACGCGUAGCUGGUCUGAGAGGACGGCCAGCCACAUUGGGACUGAGACACUGCCCAGACUCCUACGGGGGGCUGCAGUAACGAAUCUUCCGCAAUGCACGCAAGUGUGACGGAGCGACGCCGCGUGGAGGUUAAGUCCUUCGGGAUGUAAACUCCUGUCAGGGGUUACCAAGUUCUGAGGAGCCCCAGAGGAAGGCACGGCUAACUCUGUGCCAGCAGCCGCGGUAAUACAGAGGUGCCAAGCGUUAGGCGGAAUCACUGGGCUUAAAGCGCGUGUAGGCGGGUCGUUAAGUGUCCGAGUGAAAUCCCACGGCUCAACCGUGGAACUGCCGGGCAUACUGGCGAUCUUGAGGCAUUCAGGGGCGAGUGGAACAAAUGGUGGAGCGGUGAAAUGCGUAGAUAUCAUUUGGAACGCCAAUGGUGAAAACAACUCGCUGGGAAUGAUCUGACGCUGAGACGCGAAAGCCAGGGGAGCGAACGGGAUUAGAUACCCCGGUAGUCCUGGCCCUAAACGAUGUCCACUAGAUCGUGGCACCUCUGACGGUGUCAUGGUCGGAGC